rnacentral:rRNA from 1 species
UACGUAGGGAGCAAGCGUUGUCCGGAUUUAUUGGGCGUAAAGAGCUCGUAGGCGGCUUAGCAAGUCGGGUGUGAAACCUCCAGGCUCAACCUGGAGACGCCACUCGAUACUGCUAUGGCUUGAGUUCGGUAGGGGACCAUGGAAUUCCAGGUGUAGCGGUGAAAUGCGUAGAUAUCUGGAGGAAUACCGGUGGCGAAGGCGGCAUCCUGGACCGGCAUUGACGCUGAGGAGCGAAAGCGUGGGGAGCGAACAGG